ACUGAAACCGACCACAAGUAACCGAACUCCAAACCAGGAAUCAUCGCCAGUCGUGAUACAAAAAUCCAUCUUUCUGGUACUUUUUUAUGAACAUGCAAGACUAACAAUAAUGUGUUAAAGCUCCUAUGAUAUAAGACAAGUCCGAGCUGACAAUGUCCCACAGAGAUGUUUGGUAAUGACCUGUCAUCAUACUUCAGGCCACAGGAUACCUCUUUAGUCGUUUUCUGAUGUGCAGGCUCGUUUCAGUCGGUAUUAGGAGACGGGAGAAUCACAGGACUUUGACAGAGGACACAGGUCUCGUACAAUGAAGUUGUAGACUUUCACCUUUUAUUUCACGCUGGCUGAUUGGGCAGAUUUAGGCAGUGAAAAUACUGACUGGUUUAAACGCGUCCUGUUUCAAUGAUAGCACGUGUUAAAGGGUGAAAUUCCAACAGCGACAAUAGCAGCAGGGAACAUUUGGCUACAGCCUCACUCACUCUACAGGACAUCUCUGCACACUGAAAAUGUUGACACACUUUAUUUUUGUACAGUUUUGGAAAUUACUUCAUGACAGAAACAGUAAAAAAUGGUAAAUCUAUCCACUCAUCUAUCCACUCACCCACAGCAGAGGCCCAGACCUCCCACUUCCCAACCAACUCCUCCAGUUCUUCCAGAGGGGACACCAAGGCAUUCCCAGUAGUAGCUGAGAGACAUAAUCUCUCCAGCAUGUCCGGGUCUGCUCUGCAGUUUCCUCCCAACUGGACGUGACCCAAACACCUCUGCUAUGACACAUCCCAGUCAGACACCCAAACUGGGCGCCUUUCAACAUGGAGGAAUAGCAGCUCUGCUCCAAGUCCCAUGCAAAUGACCGCCUGACCCUAUCGCUAAAGAUAUCCGGGAGAGCCUAGACAUCCUAUAGAGGAAGCUCAUUUCCACUCCCUGUAUCCAGGAUCUUAUUGUUUUGGUCACUAGUUUGUGGCCAGAGGUGAGCGUAUAAACCUAGAUGGACAUUUUCACAUUCAUGCAUCAGACAUUCAUGUUUUCCAGGUUGCUCUAUAUGAAAAUAAUUUCUUACAGGCAGCUGAAUCAUUGCAACACAGGUGGAAUUUCUGAUCUUUGACUGUAAAUAAAUGCAGUAAGUCCAGUGCAACAAGCUGCAAGACCAGCGUUUAUUUAGGGUCAUGCUUCUGACCGCCGAGCGCUCACCCACACAAACAGCUGAGCGAGUACAAUAGAAGCCCACGAGACAGCUGGGCACAGAAACAGGUGGUACACACUGAGUCAUGGUUUGUGUGUAGCCGGCAACGUGUCAUUGCAGCUCUUUGUUCUGUGUGUGUGUCAGCAGAUUACUGUGUACCCUGGGGGGUCUGAACUUGCUGUGUCAGGAAGAUGAUGAACGUUUGGAUCUUAUACAGAAGCACUUGUGUUGCUUUCUGUCAAACUUUAAAUUCCAGCUCACCUCAUUUCAAAAAUCACCAUUUUUAGACUUUUUGCAGCCACGUUUCUCUACGGAAAACUCCGUAAAAAAGUGGGCACUGGCUUUUUGCCAGUAGAAAUCCCAGUCAGUCAAACUAACAACACAUUUCUUAUUUAUAUAAAUCAGCAGCCAACUGUUGCAGCCGCCCACUACAGCACCACCCUCUCUUCGUGACAGGAAGUUAUAAAUGAGCACGCUGAAAAGUAAAAAGGACGUCAGUCAAUGCACGGUAACUUCUGACCCCACUUCCGCCAGUCCCUUUAUUGUGGCGGGAAUGAACCCUGUAUAAGUUCCGGGUCAAUCAGCUGCAUGUCCCUGCUCCUCUGGCUGCUGUUGUCCCUGUGGUUGGCGUACUUGUCAGAUAUCGACAAAUUUUACACUACAGACCAGUUGACAGCGUGCAAUAACCCGGCCGAUCCAUUCACCUUUACACUACCUCACAAUCGACUCAACGGUCAGGUUUUUUUUUCCUCCCGCGAUCAGCCCUGAUCAGCGCGAGAUGGCGAGCCACCCGACCACCGCUACGUUGCGAUAGGAAUUGUGAACCUCUGGACUGAAUCACUGAAUCAAACUGUUGACACAUGACCUAUCACGGGUCCAUGGAACUAAAAUAAAUCACAUACUGGACUACACCUCAUCCCACCUCCUUUUGGAACCUAAUAAGCUGUUUUUUAUUGUCAACAUUAUUUUUGUUUGUGAUAUAUAUGCAUUUUUUUUGUACAUCUGUCUAUAUAGUCCUCAUAACAACCAUAAUAUAUAUAUUUUGAGCUCAA